rnacentral:rRNA from 1 species
UCGCCACAUGAUGGGGGUGCGUUACAUUAGGUUGUUGGUAGGGUAAAAGCCUACCAAGCCGAUGAUGUAUAGCGGGGUUGAGAAGCUGAUCCGCCACACUAGGACUGAGAUACGGCCUAGACUUCUACGGAAGGCAGCAGCAGGGAAUUUUCCACAAUGAGCGAAAGCUUGAUGGAGCGACACAGCGUGCAGGAUGAAGGUCUUAGGAUUGUAAACUGCUGUGGUAAGGGAAGAAAUGCUAAAAAAGGAAAUGUUUUUAGUUUGACGGUACCUUACUAGAAAGCACCGGCAAACUAUGUGCCAGCAGCCGCGGUAAUACAUAGGGUGCAAGCGUUAUCCGGAAUUAUUGGGCGUAAAGCGUUCGUAGGUGGUGUAUUAAGUCUAAAGUUAAAGCCUGGAGCUCAACUCCAGUCCGCUUUGGAUACUAAUAUACUAGAGUUAUGAAGAGGUUAGUGGAACUCCAUGUGAAGCGGUGGAAUGCGUAGAUAUAUGGAAGAACACCAAUGGCGAAGGCAACUAACUGGUCAUAUACUGACACUGAGGGACGAAAGCGUGGGGAGCAAACAGGAUUAGAUACCCUGGUAGUCCACGCUGUAAACGAUGCUUGUUAGCUGGUGGUAGAAUCACUAGCGCAGUUAACACAUUAAACAAGCCGCCUGAGUAGUAUGCUCGCAAGAGUGAAACUUAAAGGAAUUGACGGGGACCCCGCACAAGCGUGGAGCAUGUGGUUUAAUUCGAAGCUACGCGCAGAACCUUUACCACUNCUGACAUCCUGGNNCAAGCUAUAGAGAUAUAGUGGAAGUUAACCNAGUGACAGGUGGUGCAUGGCUGUCGUCAGCUCGUGUCNUGAGAUGUU